CACGUAGGGCGCAAGCGUUGUCCGGAAUUAUUGGGCGUAAAGAGCUCGUAGGCGGUCUGUUGCGUCCGCUGUGAAAACUCGGGGCUUAACCCCGAGCCUGCAGUGGAUACGGGCAGACUAGAGGUAGGUAGGGGAGAAUGGAAUUCCCGGUGUAGCGGUGAAAUGCGCAGAUAUCGGGAGGAACACCAGUGGCGCAAGCGAUCCCCUGGGCUAGACCUGACGCUGAGGGACGAAAGCGUGGGGAGCAAACGGGG
rnacentral:rRNA from 1 species